CCUACGGGUGACAGCAGUAGGGAAUAUUGCGCAAUGGGCGCAAGCCUGACGCAGCGACGCCGCGUGAGGGAUGAAGGUCUUCGGAUCGUAAACCUCUGUCAGCAGGGAAGAACGGUCACUGUGCUAAUCAGCAGUGAAUUGACGGUACCUGCCAAGGAAGCCCCGGCUAACUACGUGCCAGCAGCCGCGGUAAUACGUAGGGGGCAAGCGUUAUCCGGAUUUACUGGGUGUAAAGGGAGCGUAGACGGUCCUUCAGGGCAGAUGUGAAAGCCCGGGGCUCAACCCCGGGACUGCAUUUGAAACCGUAAGGCUUGAGUGUCGGAGAGGCAGGCGGAAUUCCUAGUGUAGCGGUGAAAUGCGUAGAUAUUAGGAGGAACACCAGUGGCGAAGGCGGCCGGCUGGACGACGACUGACGUUGAGGCUCGAAAGCGUGGGGAGCAAACAGGAUUAGAUACCCUUGUAGUC
rnacentral:rRNA from 1 species